rnacentral:rRNA from 1 species
AGAAUCAACGCUGGCGGCGUGCCUAACACAUGCAAGUCGCACGAGAAAGUGGAGCAAUCCAUGAGUAAAGUGGCGCACGGGUGAGUAACACGUGAAUCAUCUACCUCCGAGUGGGGAAUAACCUAGAGAAAUCUGGGCUAAUACCGCAUAACACUUACGAGUCAAAGCAGCAAUGCGCUUGGAGAGGAGUUCGCGGCCGAUUAGCUAGUUGGCGGGGUAAUGGCCCACCAAGGCGAUGAUCGGUAUCCGGCCUGAGAGGGCGCACGGACACACUGGAACUGAAACACGGUCCAGACUCCUACGGGAGGCAGCAGUGGGGAAUUUUGCGCAAUGGGGAAACCCUGACGCAGCAACGCCGCGUGGAGGAUGAAAUCCCUUGGGAUGUAAACUCCUUUCGAUAGGGAAGAUAAUGACGGUACCUAUAGAAGAAGCCCGGCUAACUUCGUGCCAGCAGCCGCGGUAA